AGGGGAGUCCCUUGGGAAAGAAACCUCCGGGGCACGAAGAGGGGCUCGCGGCCUAUCAGCUAGUUGGCGGGGUAAUGGCCCACCAAGGCGACGACGGGUAGCUGGUCUGAGAGGAUGGCCAGCCACAUUGGGACUGAGAUACGGCCCAGACUCCUACGGGAGGCAGCAGUGGGGAAUAUUGCGCAAUGGCCGCAAGGCUGACGCAGCGACGCCGCGUGUGGGAUGACGCCUUUCGGGGUGUAAACCACUGUUGCCCGGGACGAACAACUGGUUUCGACCAGUCUGACGGUACCGGGUGAGGAAGCACCGGCUAACUCCGUGCCAGCAGCCGCGGUAAUACGGAGGGUGCGAGCGUUGUCCGGAAUCAUUGGGCGUAAAGGGCGCGUAGGUGGCCCGGUAAGCGUGCGGUGAAAGCUCGGGGCUCAACCCCGAGUCGGCCGUGCGAACUGCUGGGCUUGAGCACUGUAGAGGCAGGCGGAAUUCCGGGUGUAGCGGUGGAAUGCGUAGAGAUCCGGAAGAACACCGGUGGCGAAGGCGGCCUGCUGGGCAGUAGCUGACACUGAGGCGCGACAGCGUGGGGAGCAAACAGGAUUAGAUACCCUGGUAGUCCACGCCGUAAACGAUGGGCACUAGGCGCUUGGGGGAGCGACCCCCCGAGGGCCGACGCUAACGCAUUAAGUGCCCCGCCUGGGGAGUACGACCGCAAGGUUGAAACUCAAAGG
rnacentral:rRNA from 1 species